rnacentral:rRNA from 1 species
GACGAACGCUGGCGGCGUGCUUAACACAUGCAAGUCGAACGGAAAGGCCCUUCGGGGUACUCGAGUGGCGAACGGGUGAGUAACACGUGGGUGAUCUGCCCUGCACUUUGGGAUAAGCCUGGGAAACUGGGUCUAAUACCGGAUAGGACUACGCGAUGCAUGUCGUGUGGUGGAAAGCUUUUGCGGUGUGGGAUGGGCCCGCGGCCUAUCAGCUUGUUGGUGAGGUUAUGGCUUACCAAGGCGACGACGGGUAGCCGGCCUGAGAGGGUGACCGGCCACACUGGGACUGAGAUACGGCCCAGACUCCUACGGGAGGCAGCAGUGGGGAAUAUUGCACAAUGGGCGCAAGCCUGAUGCAGCGACGCCGCGUGAGGGAUGACGGCCUUCGGGUUGUAAACCUCUUUCAGUAGGGACGAAGCGCAAGUGACGGUACCUAUAGAAGAAGGACCGGCCAACUACGUGCCAGCCGCCGCAGUAAAAC